rnacentral:rRNA from 1 species
CCCGGCACAAGCGGUGGAGCAUGUGGUUUAAUUCGAAGCAACGCGAAGAACCUUACCAGGUCUUGACAUCCUUUUGAAUGGUCUAGAGAUAGAUCAGGCCUUCGGGACAGAAGAGACAGGUGGUGCAUGGUUGUCGUCAGCUCGUGUCGUGAGAUGUUGGGUUAAGUCCCGCAACGAGCGCAACCCUUAUCAUUAGUUGCUAACAUUCAGUUGAGAACUCUAAUGAGACUGCCAGUGAUAAACUGGAGGAAGGUGGGGAUGACGUCAAAUCAUCAUGCCCCUUAUGACCUGGGCUACACACGUGCUACAAUGGCCGGUACAAAGAGUUGCGAAACUGUGAAGUUAAGCUAAUCUCAUAAAGCCGGUCUCAGUUCGGAUUGUAGUCUGCAACUCGACUACAUGAAGUCGGAAUCGCUAGUAAUCGCGAAUCAGAAUGUCGCGGUGAAUACGUUCUCGAGUCUU